GACGAACGCUGGCGGCGUGCUUAACACAUGCAAGUCGAACGGAAAGGCCUGCUUUCCCUUGUGGAUUGCGAGUACUCGAGUGGCGAACGGGUGAGUAACACGUGAGUGAUCUGCCCCCAACUUGGGUAUAAGCCUGGGAAACUGGGUCUAAUUCCCGAUAGGACUGCAGGGUGGUGCCUGUGGUGGAAAACGAUUUUCUAGUGGUUGGGGAUGAGCUCGCGGCCUAUCAGCUUGUUGGUGGGGUAAUGGCCUACCAAGGCGGCGACGGGUAGCCGGCCUGAGAGGGUGGACGGCCACAUUGGGACUGAGAUACGGCCCAGACUCCUACGGGAGGCAGCAGUGGGGAAUAUUGCACAAUGGGCGGAAGCCUGAUGCAGCGACGCCGCGUGGGGGAUGACGGCCUUCGGGUUGUAAACUCCUUUCGACCGCGAGGAAGCCACCUGGUUGGAAGGGUGGUGACGGUAGUGGUAGAAGAAGCACCGGCUAACUACGUG
rnacentral:rRNA from 1 species